UUGCCGAAUUCCUAUCCUUUAACAUGCAGUGUGAAAGCCUCUACAACAACGGCCACUACACGGAAUUUGCCUGCGGUACAACGAAGGAACUUAGGCGUCCCCGACAGCUGAUUUCUUGCCUUACAACGAACGCCACGAAGCCUACUCUCCUCCGCAGACGUCACUGAGCGCACCGACUGCCGGCGACUGUCGUCACGAGCGAGCACGUGCUCUAUGUCAAGAGACAUGUACUACAUACAACCGAUUCGGAUUUGGACAUUCAUUCAAACUGAGCGAAUUGUGGCUGUUUAUAUUUCGUUCUGUACAUUAAUUAAACAAGAGUCGAAAGCAGGCUCGGAAGCGUUAACAACAAA